UCACACUUCCUUCCAGUAUUUAGUAUGUUUGACAAUCUUGCUGUAGAUGAACUUCUCAAAGUGAAUUUCUUUUAGCCUAUAGCAAGAUCUACACUGACACUAUAAGCCAAAAAGCUAUGAGAUAUUUGAGGAUAAUCUGUGCAAUGAACAAGCCUUGCUUGAUAGCAGCCAGCUCAGCAUUAGUACUGGUAGUAAUGAUGCAAACACGUGCCCUCAAGAGUAAGUUUAACAAAGCCAUGUGGAGGUAGCUGGGGACAUGGAACAACCCAGAUUGUGAUGUGAGUCUAAAAACCGGUAAUUAAUAGUCAUCAUCCAUGCCUAAAAUGGAGUGAACAGCAAGAGGUAAAAAAAUACCACUUUCUGCUAC
rnacentral:lncRNA from 1 species